rnacentral:rRNA from 1 species
GUGAGGAAUCUUCCGCAAUGGACGAAAGUCUGACGGAGCAACGCCGCGUGAGUGAAGAAGGUUUUCGGAUCGUAAAGCUCUUUCGUUAGGGACGAACGUGCUCUUUGUGAAUAAUGAGGAGUAAUGACGGUACCUAAAUAAGAAGCCACGGCUAACUACGUGCCAGCAGCCGCGGUAAUACGUAGGUGGCAAGCGUUGUCCGGAAUUAUUGGGCGUAAAGCGCGCGCAGGCGGGAUAUCAAGUCUGGCUUAAAAGUGCGAGGCUCAACCUCGUGAGGGGACAGAAACUGGUAUUCUUGAGUGUCGGAGAGGAAAGUGGAAUUCCAAGUGUAGCGGUGAAAUGCGUAGAGAUUUGGAAGAACACCAGUGGCGAAGGCGACUUUCUGGACGAUGUCUGACGCUGAGGCGCGAAAGCUAGGGGAGCGAACGGGAUUAGAUACCCUAGUAGUCC